GAUGAACGCUGGCGGCGUGCCUAAUACAUGCAAGUCGAGCGAACAGACGAGGAGCUUGCUCCUCUGACGUUAGCGGCGGACGGGUGAGUAACACGUGGAUAACCUACCUAUAAGACUGGGAUAACUUCGGGAAACCGGAGCUAAUACCGGAUAAUAUAUUGAACCGCAUGGUUCAAUAGUGAAAGACGGUUUUGCUGUCACUUAUAGAUGGAUCCGCGCCGCAUUAGCUAGUUGGUAAGGUAACGGCUUACCAAGGCAACGAUGCGUAGCCGACCUGAGAGGGUGACCGGCCACCCGGGAACGAAGACCCGGCCCGGACCCCUGGGGGAGGAGGAGGAGGGGAUUCUCCCACAAGGGGCGAAGGUUGGAGGGGACAAGCCGGCGGGAGUGAGAAAGGUGUCCGGAUCGAAAAACUUUUUUAUGAGGAAAAAAAAAAUGUGAAAGAAAUUAUACGCGUCUGGACGGUACCUAAUAAAAAGGCCACGCCUAACUCCGUC
rnacentral:rRNA from 1 species